GCCCGGGUGGCGAAAUUGGUAGACGCAGGGGAUUCAAAAUCCCCCGCCGCAAGGCGUGUCGGUUCGAGUCCGACCCCGGGCACCA
rnacentral:tRNA from 1 species